GACGAACGCUGGCGGCGUGCUUAAUACAUGCAAGUCGAGCGAGGCCUUGGAAUUGGAGUCCUUCGGGAUGAAGAGUCCUUGGCCUAGCGGCGGACGGGUGAGUAACGCGUGGGCAACCUACCCCAAAGUCCGGGAUAACAGUGGGAAACCGCUGCUAAUACCGGAUGGCUUUACCUGAGGGCAUCCUUGGGUAAAGAAAGGUUACGCUUUGGGAUGGGCCCGCGUCCCAUUAGCUAGUUGGUGAGGUAACGACUCACCAAGGCGACGAUGGGUAGCCGGCCUGAGAGGGUGAACGGCCACACUGGGACUGAGACACGGCCCAGACUCCUACGGGAGGCAGCAGUAGGGAAUAUUGCGCAAUGGGCGGAAGCCUGACGCAGCGACGCCGCGUGAGCGAAGAAGGCCUUCGGGUCGUAAAGCUCUGUCCUUGGGAAGAAGGCGAAAGCUUGACGGUACCCAAGAAGAAAGCCCCGGCUAACUACGUGCCAGCAGCCCGCGGUAAGCAUACUCGUA
rnacentral:rRNA from 1 species